rnacentral:lncRNA from 1 species
UAAGCUCUCUCCCACCCCCACCCCAAGCACAGGACCCCAGCCUGCAAACACCUUCUCUACCUAGAGAAACUCUCACUCCAGGAGUGUGCUUGGGGCUCCUCACCCACAACCAGCCACUUCUGACUUUGCAGUCUGCCUGUGACACUACUGUUGAUGACAGUCUAGUUCAGACAUUUAUGUGGGGUCUGCUGACACACACCAGAAUAAGAUGGCCUCGCUACAGACUGUCUUUGCUCCUCCUUACCUCUACCAGUUGGGGAGGUCUAGUCAAAUCAGUCCUCUGAGGGUGGUAGUUCCCAGCCACUCAUCCCUGAGGCCUGAGCCCUAGUUGGCCCUCCCUGGGUAACCUCACAUCAUUGUGUGUACUAAACCCCUUCCACACCAAGGGCAGGCCCGCUUUUCCCACUCCCAUCAUAGCUGAUACUCUGGUCCCAGCCACCAAGACCUUCCAGGGCUUCUGACAGGGGUAGCUACCUAUUUUUCCAGACACAAAGUCUCUGCCUGCCUCAGCAGGGAAACCUCUUAAGAGAAAUGACUCCCCAUUCCCUCUGGGUGUUGCCCACCCCCACCUGGCCCAGGAAGAGGGAAUAUGUCUGAGCUGAAGUCUCCUCCUAGUCCUUGCUCCAGCUGAGUCCUCCAGGUAAAGUCCUGGGAGACAGGUCCUCUCUGCAGUGUCUUCUGAGAAAGUUCCCAGAGUCAGUGCCACCAAAUUUGUUUCUGUGUUGUGGUUCCUGUCUGCUUGGCAUUUGAAAACCGCUUGGGCUCUACGGAUCACUUUACUGAAUGUGGUGAUCAAGAAGAAAGGGAACCCUGCAGGCAAAUGUAAGAUACUUACACUCUGUAAGAUAAAUUUCUGCCUCCGUGUUUUUGGGUUUUUUUUUCUUUGAAAAGUUGUACGUGUUCUGUACGUGAAAUCGUCUGUAGAGAGUUUCCACGUUCUUAAAUGGCAAUACAUUCCAAACCUCGUACUGUAGAUAAUGUACAGCAUCCGCACUGGAAAGGGGUAGUUUUGCCUGUGGUUUUAUUUAAACUCCAGUUUCUACACUUGUAUCUUGCAGUUGUCGGUAUGGUAUUCAUCAGUGCAAAAGAAAAACAAAAAAACAAAAAAAACUUAAACAAAAAAAAAUCUACACAGGUCUAAAGCACAGAGUCUGUUAUACAAAAGGAAAGAAUCGCUCAGUAUUGGUGUGUGUGACCCUUGUUGUAAAUCCCAUCUGUACUGUGAAUGAGACGUUUUUACAAGUAUGACAAUUACCUUUAUUACAGCUUGGGCUGAGUGUUCAGCCUGAAGAUAUUUUUUAAAAAAAAAAUAGCACGUUGGAAUAAAUUUGAAAAUUCCCAACAGAGCCCUGUUGGCCUGGCUC